rnacentral:tRNA from 2 species
GCGGGAGUCGCAUAGCGGCAAUUGCGUUGGCUUUAGGAGCCAAUGGCUUAGUGCCUUCGCAGGUUCGAGUCCUGUCUCCCGCA